UCGAUGGAGGAGGAUGAGUAAGCAGGAAGUGGGGGGAGAGGCAGAGACACCCCACAGAUCACAGAUCUUACGGAUGCUGUGGAAUCUGGAAAGACUGUUAGAUAUGGAAGAGGGUUUUUUUCCCAAUCCUACUCUGCCACUCAUAUGUGAUGUGUCUGUAUGCAAAUUACUAAAUCUUUUCUUUUAGCCACAAUCCCCUUACAUGAUGAUGACCUCACACUAUGUGUGUGUGUGUGUGUGUGUGUGUGUGUGUGUGUGUUUUGCCUCGCUUUAUUUUAUUGGCACAUAAACGUAGAACGAGAGUUUUAAGUAAGGGGGUGUGAAUUAAUCCUAUUGAAAAUAAAUGCGGUACCCAAGUGGGAGGUACUGAUGCAUUCUUUCUAUUGGCGGUGGUUUUGGUGGGUGGAAGUGAGGGUUGACCACAUGAUCCCUAGGACUGGUUUGGCCCUGGCUGACAGGGCUCUUCCCUUUCUUCACUCCCACACCCCAGCAAUGGUUGUGAAAGGGAAAACAGCUUUUAUUGUGAAGGUCCACGGGCUGAAAGAUGCCGGGGAAAUGGAAAGCUGUGAGAAACACGUUUAGGCAGAUUCUUUACCAUCUGAGCCACCAGGGAAGGCCACCAAAAGGCAUUACUUGAUUUAUAUUCUGAAGAAGCCGUUGUUCAGGAGUGAUACCAACUUAUUCAAAAACUGAAAUUAUUCUCUUGGAAUUGCUUAUCCAUUUUAUGAUAUGUGUGCCAGUAAAAAGAAGAGAGAGCUAAAAGAAUGCUCUUCUUUAUGAUGACGAAGAUGGGAGGGGUAUGAAAAUAUUUGCAAACCAUUCCCAGAUUCUCACAUUCCCAGGGGCAAAAAGCAAUGAAACUUUGGAUCAGAGAGUUCCGCAGAGGCUGCCUAAUUCCUAGCAUUAAUCAGAACCCAGCCCGUACCUCAAUCUCCCCUUCAUGUUUGGCCUAAUGUUCUCUUUCUGCCACCAUCAAUUCAUAUUUUUUGUGUUUCUGACACUGAAAAAUGUGUCAAGAGGAAAGCCUACUAUGGUCAACAAGCAAA
ensembl:lncRNA